CGAUGGACAAGCAAUCAAACAUGGUUACAGCCCAAGGCAGAAUAGACCCGAACCAAAACACGGGUACUUCAAUCCAAAGCUGUAAUAUAAUAGCAAGUUCUGAUCUUGAGCCAGUGAAAGGGUCCUUCAAGUCAUAUUUGGGGCGUCCCUGGAAAGAGUAUUCAAGAACUGUUGUUAUGCAAUCACACAUUGGUGACCAUAUUGACCCAUCAGGGUGGUCAGUUUGGAACGGGGAUUUCGCAUUGAAGACACUGUACUAUGGGGAGUACGUGAACAAGGGACCUGGAGCUGGAACUAGCAAGCGAGUGAAAUGGCCUGGCUAUCAUGUCAUUAC
rnacentral:lncRNA from 1 species